UUUCCGAGGUGAACCUGCCGAAGGAUCAUUAACGAGUUAGGGUCUCUUCGGCCCGACCUCCCAACCCUAUGUUUACUGAACCCCUGUUGCUUCGGCGGGCCCGUCUCACGACCGUCGGAGGAGUCGCCGCGAGGCGCCCUCUGACCAGCGCCCGCCGACGGCCAACCCAUGUCAAAACUCUGUAUAAAUCGUGUCAUGAUGUCUAAGUCUUUAUGAUUCAAUUUAAAACGCAAAACUUUCAACAACGGAUCUCUUGGUUCUGGCAUCGAUGAAGAACGCAGCGAAAUGCGAUAAGUAAUGCGAAUUGCAGAAUUCCAGUGAGUCAUCGAAUCUUUGAACGCACAUUGCGCCCUUUGGUAUUCCGAAGGGCAUGCCUGUUCGAGCGUCAUUAUCACCCCCUCAAGCCCCGUGCUUGGUGUUGGACGGCCGGUCGAGCGAUCGACCCCUCCGAAAGACAAUGACGGCGGCCCGUGGUUCCCCCGGCACACUGAGCUUUUCACCGAGCACGUGUCGGACGAGGGCACCCGGGCCCCGGUCCCCUCCUUUCAUCAGGAAACUUCUCCAGGUUGACCUCGGAUAAGGAGAAAG
rnacentral:rRNA from 1 species